AACCCAUGGUCAGGGAACCUUCUUAAUAAGUCUUUGUAUCUCUUCCAUGCAUCAUAAAGUGUUUCUAAAUCCAUCUACAUAAAGAAGAAAUAUCAUUCCUCAAUUU
rnacentral:snoRNA from 1 species